ACUGGUCAUUGUGGGCAGAUGUAUGUAUCCUGUAAUACAGGAAAGAAAUGAUAAGACAGGGAGACGUGUUUCCUCUUUUCAAUGUUCUCCGCCAUUAUUUAUUCAUAAACAUCAUCAGUUCACUGAACACGGUGCAUUGUCUCUUUUUUCCAGUAUCAUAACUACUGUACUUUAGCUGUAUCUUUAUACAGGUUUCUUGGCUUUACAUAGCCACACAAGUCAAUACACACAGUACAACUUCAUGUCACUAGUUGGUCCAAAACUGUUUCUCUAUGGUUAACUCUUCGAGUAUAGUUUGACUAUAAUUGCACUCUCAAUGCACUAACAUAAAUUUACUAUCUAGCAAGACUUGGACUUAUAAGCAAUGGUGUCAGUAACCAAAUCAUUGGAAAAAAACAACACCUUCUAGCAAGUUAACAAAACAGACUAAACACGGAGCCAGAUGACCUGUGAUCUUAAAAGGAGACGUGUGGCCCACUUAGUAUCUGGUAGCUAGCAUGCUAUUUAAGAGAAUGAUCGAGUGUACCACCGCCAUUACUAUCGCUCUCGGUGGGCAUUAGCUUACUUUCCACGAAUACACAGAACCAUUUUCCCCUAGUUUCACUCUACCACUCACCCUUGAAUCAUAACUCAACAUUUGCUUAUUGACUCUAGCAGUUUUGUGGGGUUUUCUUGUUCAACACUAACCUGUAAUACAGGAAAGAAAUGAUAAGACAGGGAGACGUGUUUCCUCUUUUCGAUGUUCUCCGCCAUUAUGAGGAAAUAGCGGUGCGUGCGCUCCCGUCUACAG